UGAUGAUCUAUGCUGGUGUUUGGAAUCUGGAUGGUUGUAGUUAAUUGUGCUCUUGUCUUUUAAGUUAUCACUCAAAUCUGGCAUGUGAUCUUCUUGUUUUGUGGCACGAAAAAAUAAUGCCUUUAUGCCAGGGGUUUGGGACUAGCAGUCUUUUUUUCCCCAGAUAUAUUUGGUGAUCAUGGUAGAUGGUUUGUGUACAGUUAUGGUUUAGGACUCUUGG
rnacentral:misc_RNA from 1 species